rnacentral:misc_RNA from 1 species
AUGCUUCAAAUGAACCAGAAUAAGGAAGUAAUGUCCAUAAAGAUGAAAAAUAAGUAACUUGAAAUAAAAAGUAACAUUUUGUUCCAACGUUUUUCAGGGAGAAACAUGGGAGAAAAUACUCGAACAUCAAUAUAUCCAAUAGGUGUAGCAUAUCAAGAGAAGACUUAUCUCUCCAAAAGAUUACUUUUCAUUCUUCCCAUUUUUCCAUCUUACAUAUAAAAACCAUAGGAAAGACCAAAAAAGUGAAGUGCAAUCCUUAUCACAGGGCAUAAAACAGAAAUAUCACAAAAUAAAAUAUCAUGUUUAAUACCUCAAGAUGGGCAUUGAAAGAGUCGUAUGCA